AAUUAUGGUGGCUCAGGCAGGGCAGCUUUCGGGCUGGCCGGUAGCUGAUUGGGCCGGUAUUCCUACCCUUGUCUGGGUCACCACCAAC
rnacentral:antisense_RNA from 13 species